AUGCCGUGGUGUGGGCAUGGUUGAAUGUACUCCUGGAGGCGCUCCCAAGCUUGUAGGAUGGUCUCAUCCGAUAGUUGCUAGAUACUGGAGAUUCUGUUCCGGAGAGC